rnacentral:rRNA from 1 species
AGCGAACGUUUGCGGCGGGCUUAACACAUGCAAGUCGAACGGGCUGUUCCUUCGGGGGCAGUCAGUGGCGCACGGGUGCGUAACACGUAGGUAAUCAACCCUCUGGUUGGGGAUAACACUUCGAAAGGAGUGCUAAUACCCGGUAUGGCGCAGCGGUCUUCGGAUCGCGGCGAGAAAGACCCGCAAGGGUUGCCAGAGGACGAGCCUGCGGCCCAUCAGCUAGUUGGCGAGGUAACGGCUCACCAAGGCGAAGACGGGUAGCUGGUCUGAGAGGAUGAUCAGCCACACUGGAACUGAGACACGGUCCAGACUCCUACGGGAGGCAGCAGUGGGGAAUAUUGCGCAAUGGGCGAAAGCCUGACGCAGCCACGCCGCGUGAGCGAUGAAGGCCUCGGUCGUAAAGCUCUGUGGGAGGAGAAGAAUAAAGACCUGUGAAGAGCAGGCCUUGACGGUAGUCUCCUUACGCAAGCACCGGCGUAACUCCGUG